AGUGGGAUCCCAAGCACGACGCACGCCAAGUUACAGAAUAAGGAUGCAAAUAUAUGCCUUUGGUGAGUUUGAGGUAUCAUUGCAGACUAUGGACUGCCUUUGAUGGUUCUUGUUUGGACAGCUAUUCAAUACAUCCCAGCCAAUAAUGUUCCACAUGGUAUCCUUAGACGGCUCCUCAGCCUAAAUCCGUGGUCGUCUGGUGCCUAUGCGACCUGGACAGUCAUCGAGAGCUUUUAUCCCAGCGACGCGAUGCUUUAUUAUUUGCCUAUAGUGUAGCAUCUCAACUUGCACAGCAAAGCGAGUUCAAUUUCAGAAAACCAUGUAUUUUCCAUUACGAUUUCUGACUCCAUUAUAUGGUCUUCUUGGUGUCCCCCUAUCAAAUGGCGUCAUCCCACAAUCUAUACAAACUGUCUCGCCACUCUCAAAAAACACCAGGUAGUGGAUGGGAAACCUAUUUCAACCUCCGAGGCAUCUCCACCUGAUACAAAAAAUUGAUGACAAAUCAGUUGCGGUUGUGAAGAAAGAUGGUGAAGCUGCAUCCUCUCCAGCAAAAGCUCACGAAAGCGUAUCGAUGCAGCUGAAGUUGCCGAAAAACAAGCUCUUUCUACUUCAUCCAAAACUGCAACCAAAAUGGUUAGCGAUAGGCAGAAGAAAUGCUCUUGUCCGAUCUUAAUGAAAGCAGCUGAGGCGAACAAAGAUAAACCUAUCCGCUCUUAUGGUAUGCUUAGCUACAAAAUAUAUUCAUGAUGUUUGUAAUACAUAGAAUUUGUAUUCUCUUAGGACAUAGGAAUGAACUGAACUUAUGAAGUUUCUAUGUAUUCCCUUAAC